rnacentral:rRNA from 1 species
UACGUAGGGAGCGAGCGUUAUCCGGAUUUAUUGGGCGUAAAGCGUGUGUAGGCGGUUUAUUAAGUCUAAAAUUAAAGCCCGAGGCUUAACCUCGGUUCGUUUUAGAAACUGGUAGACUUGAGUGUGGUAGAGGUAAGUGGAAUUUCUAGUGUAGCGGUUAAAUGCGUAGAUAUUAGAAGGAACACCAGUGGCGAAGGCGGCUUACUGGGCCAUUACUGACGCUGAGACACGAAAGCGUGGGGAGCAAAUAGG